CGAGGACCGUGGCAUUCCGACUGCAAGCCCAACAGAGCUGCCGCGGGUCAGAGCCCCCGGCAGCCCGGCGUUUAAAUCCCGAGACUCCCACUUGGUAGCUCAGUGACGUUAGCUCCUAUUAUUAUCCUCACCAAGGAAGAUGCAGCUGACUGUUUACUCUAGGCCUGCGCCUGCCACCAACUCGUCCAGAGACUUCAGAGCCAGCCCUGCCCUCCAGCUCAUUCUCUUUGCAGCCAAGCACCUGCGGCCGCGCUGGGCACACAGGUUCCCACUGAAAAGGCACGCGUGGCCCAGCUGGGCGUGGCUCAGCGGUUGAGCUUCAACCCAGGAACCAAGAGGUCACCGGUUUGAUUCCAGGUGGAAAAGUGAAGCCCAGCUGAGAGGGACAGAGCCAGGAUUUAAAUCUGCAUACUCUGGCCCCAAAGGGGGGCUCUUCGCCCAGGGACGACGCAAUCCCCUCUGGGUGGGCUCCUCUGGUGAUUGGUGUACAAGGCUGUUUUCUUGCUCAACCAAAUUCUCAGCAGAGCACAGCCCAGGUUUCCUUUACCCCAGUGUCCGGCACAGUGCCAGGCACAUGAUCCACACUAAGCAAAAUUCUGCUGACAAAAUCCAUGCCCGGCUGUCCCCCCUCAGCUGGCUCUGAUUCCUCCCCUUUGUCCCGCCCGCUGGGCCUCUGGCUUCCGAGCCACCUUCCUUGCUCCUGGGUGGUGUCUGUCAGCUCCCAGCCCUUUAUUCCAGUCUUGAAAGAAGCAACUUUCCCCUGAGCCAGCCAAGGUCAGAAGGAGGCGUGCACAUGCUCUGAGAGGCUCCAGACUCAGGCUUUGGCCUGAGGCCACGGCGGACCCACCCGCCGGGGGCUCCAGGAUGGGAGCACCCUGACUCCGGAAGCAUGCUGGUGGCCUCCGGCUUCUGGGGCCUCUGCUGCCGUCACCCCGCUCCCGUCCCGCUGGAAUCCCCGCAGAGAGGUCCGGGUGGUACAACGCUUGCGGUUUACUCUGUUUCCAGAAACCCUUAGUGAAAUUACAGCUUUAAUUAAAUACAGCUGGC